rnacentral:rRNA from 1 species
AAUGAACGCUGGCGGCAGGCCUAACACAUGCAAGUCGAGCGAGCGGCGGACGGGUGAGUAAUGCCUAGGAAUCUGCCUGGUAGUGGGGGAUAACGUGCGGAAACGGGCGCUAAUAACGCAUAACAUCGGAUGUGCCCAGAUGGGAUUAGCUUGUAGGUGAGGUAACGGUUCACCUAGGCGACGAUCCCUAGCGGGUCUGAGAGGAUGACCAGCCACCCUGGAACUGAGACGCGGUCCAGACUCCUACGGGAGGCAGCAGAGGGGAAUAUUGCACUAUGGGCGCAAGCCUGAUUCAGCCAUGCCGCGUGUAUGAAGAGGUCCUUCGGGUUUUAAAGUACUUUCAGCGGGGAGGCGUUACCCUCAGAAUAAGCACCGGCUAACUCCGUGCCAGCAGCCGCGGUAAUAC